rnacentral:rRNA from 1 species
AUUGAACGCUAGCGGGAUGCUUUACACAUGCAAGUCGAACGGCAGCGCGGACUUCGGUCUGGCGGCGAGUGGCGAACGGGUGAGUAAUGUAUCGGAACGUGCCCAGUAGCGGGGGAUAACUACGCGAAAGCGUAGCUAAUACCGCAUACGCCCUACGGGGGAAAGCAGGGGAUCGUAAGACCUUGCACUAUUGGAGCGGCCGAUAUCGGAUUAGCUAGUUGGUGAGGUAACGGCUCACCAAGGCGACGAUCCGUAGCUGGUUUGAGAGGACGACCAGCCACACUGGGACUGAGACACGGCCCAGACUCCUACGGGAGGCAGCAGUGGGGAAUUUUGGACAAUGGGGGCAACCCUGAUCCAGCCAUCCCGCGUGUGCGAUGAAGGCCUUCGGGUUGUAAAGCACUUUUGGCAGGAAAGAAACGUCGCGGGCUAAUACCCCGCGGAACUGACGGUACCUGCAGAAUAAGCACCGGCUAACUACGUG